UUGAACGCUGGCGGCAGGCUUAACACAUGCAAGUCGAGCGGGGGAAGGUAGCUUGCUACCGGACCUAGCGGCGGACGGGUGAGUAAUGCUUAGGAAUCUGCCUAUUAGUGGGGGACAACAUCUCGAAAGGGAUGCUAAUACCGCAUACGUCCUACGGGAGAAAGCAGGGGAUCUUCGGACCUUGCGCUAAUAGAUGAGCCUAAGUCGGAUUAGCCAGUUGGUGGGGUAAAGGCCUACCAAGGCGACGAUCUGUAGCGGGUCUGAGAGGAUGAUCCGCCACACUGGGACUGAGACACGGCCCAGACUCCUACGGGAGGCAGCAGUGGGGAAUAUUGGACAAUGGGGGGAACCCUGAUCCAGCCAUGCCGCGUGUGUGAAGAAGGCCUUAUGGUUGUAAAGCACUUUAAGCGAGGAGGAGGCUACUUUAGUUAAUACCUAGAGAUAGUGGACGUUACUCGCAGAAUAAGCACCGGCUAACUCUGUGCCAGCAGCCGCGGUAAUACAGAGGGUGCGAGCGUUAAUCGGAUUUACUGGGCGUAAAGCGUGCGUAGGCGGCUUAUUAAGUCGGAUGUGAAAUCCCCGAGCUUAACUUGGGAAUUGCAUUCGAUACUGGUGAGCUAGAGUAUGGGAGAGGAUGGUAGAAUU
rnacentral:rRNA from 1 species